CACAGCUCCAGGGCCACAGCAGAUGUGAGAGCCGAGUAUUUACAGUUUACUUAAAGGAAGCCUUGGCUUCAUCUGCAUCCACACAAAAAAAGACAGACGGUCCAUGCGUAAUGCUCCUCCACCCUCAUAUAUACACGCACACGCAGAGUUUGGAGACUUCCUUGCCUGACCCUGUUCUGACACUUCACUCUGGGGCACCUGGUUCGCAGAAAGAAGCCAGUAGGACCCAGGAGUAGAGUAAGAUGAUGGAAUUUCAUGGUCUCUUUUGCAUUCUAUUAUCAGUGUAUCAUGAACAUGUCAUCCAUUACCUGUAACAAAUUAAGAAAAAGAAUGUAUUGUUGCUAUAGGAUAUUUAAAAAGUGUUUCCCCCUUGAAAUAAUUGGAAUAUCAGGUAUUGUAUAUGAAAAGGUUAUCAGUCUUUGCUUUAAGGUAAAUGAAUCUCAGCAAGAACUCAGAAAAGUUGUAUAGUAUAAACUGAAAAUUUGCAGUGGAAAUAUUCACAACUCCUCCUUAUGAUGAAGAGUGGGCUUUUUUUCCCCCUGUCAUCUGCAAAACUACUGGUUGCAAUCCUUAUGUGCCUUCCUAGGUGAAAUUUCCCUUUUGCUUUCACACACAGAGUAGGUCAAUGAUCUAAUGGUGUCUGAGCUUCAAGUAUUAGCUUCAUAUUAUUAUGGAAAUUAUGGUAAUAGCACAUGGAAAUAACACUCAGACUGCAUUAAUUUUAAGAAAUAUUUAAAGUGACAUAUUCCUUUUUCUUAUGCUAAUGUAUGCAAUGAAGAAAGAAAAUUAUUUUAUUAAUUUUUCGUGUCCUACUUUACAAUAGGCAUGCAUGAAAAACAUUUUCAUUUACAGCCAUCAGAAAAACUAAUGUAAACCUUCAUGUGAUGAUCCCAGUCCUCCACAUGAGUAAGCCAACAUAUUAAAUAUAUCUUUUCAUGUAAUAUUUUAAAUAUUUCAGUAUGACUCAUCCUUAUUUAAAUAGUGGCCCUAUUCCACUGCUUCAUGGGACCAAGAUUUUCAAGACCAGUCUUAGUACAUCUGGAUGUACAAUAAGUGUUUCUUCAAUGCUUGGAAGCAAGAGGAAAACAAACGCUGCAUGUAUCCUCAUCUCCAGACCAUCUUCCUAUUUAAACAUAAGACAUGGUUGUGUUUUCCCCUCUAUACUGUGUUAUCAUGUUAUUUAUUUUAAAUGUGCUAUGAUGUGUAUAAUGUCAUUAGAUAUCUGGCAUACUCAUAAUUUUAAGUCAUUAUUCUAUUUUAAUGUUAACUAAAACUAUAGUUGUGAUUGAAGUUAUGUCUGCUGUAUGAAGGACAUACAAGUGAUAUUCAACUUUAUUUAAAAAUAUGGAACAAAUGCACAAUUGUUAUCCCACAAAGCACAUUUUACAGUAAAUGAGGAGCAAUGUAAUUUCCAUUAAAAUUUGGAACUAAGGUAACUAAAAAUGUCAUUGAUAACAAUUCUGUUGUAAAGUGGGGAAAAAAGCACCAUAUUCUUAAAUACAAGCAUUUUUACAUUCAUAAAAAUUCAAGACUUGAUUUUGGUAGAGCACUUCAAAGAAAUACAGAUUUGUAGUUUAAAUUGCAUAAAUCAUUCUAUCUACACUUUAAAUGCUCAGCAGCAUACAAUACAGAAAUAAUCAUUAAAGUGUACAUACAAACAGAAAGAAAGGAUGGAUAUGAACGCUAAUGUUUUUUUUUUUAAAAAUGAUGCACACAUAAUUGUUUUUAAAGAUAUGUAAAGCAUAUGUCAUGCUUUACUUUCUGGUACCACAAAAGAAAAAAGCUCUCCUAAAUAAUCAACUCCUUGUAUUCUCCAAGUAAACUUGGUGAAGCUGGAGUUGACCUGGCACAAGGCUCAUGAAAACAUAUAAAAACAACAGAAUUUUUCCAACUGACAAUAAAAAAAAUAUAUAUAUACACAUAAAGCUCUUUAUAAUGCAUGUCUGCGUGUCUAUGCACAGAAAUCCUUCAAUUUAGCUCAUGUUAAGGAGUUUGAUUUCUAAGAUCAAAUGGAAAAUAGAUCAGUACCUGGUAAAUGCAUUAUAUUUAGCUUUGAAAAGGUCCAACUAUUAAAAAUGCAGAGGUCCUCAAAACACAUACCAGAAAGAAAUACUAAAGGUACAGGAAAUUAAAAACAAACACAAAGAUCCUAUACUAUAUGAAAUACCAUCCACACUUUCUGUAAAAUAUAUAUUUGCUUAACACUGAGUAACCUCAGUGCCUUCAGUGAGCAUACUAUAAUUUGUACCGACUUCCCAGCGUGUCUAGGAAGAAUUAGGGGCCAAGAGCAUUAAAAAGGUGCUUUCAUUCUCUUUUUUAUGCCCUCAAGUAAGACAUGCCAGCCUUCUUUUGAAUUAAAUUCCUAUUGUAAAAAUGUGCCUCAGUGUCAAAGGCCUCAUACCCAAUUACACAGUCCCACACAGGUUUCCUGCACUGUUACCACCUCAGAAUGUUUAAGGCACAUUGAUAUUGACACUUAUUAAAAAUUCUGUGAAAACACUAUGCCUUAUAUUUCUUAAAUAUAGAUUUUUUUUUCAUAAAUUUUAGGGGAAGGGUGACAUGACUCAUACAUUUAUCAUGUAAUAAAACACAGAAUAUAUAUUUAAGCUUUACCAAGUUUUGCCUCUAAAUUCAUUGUAUCAUUUGACGUUUCUAGAUGACACACAUCAAUUCCUACUUAAGUACAUAAGUAACUCUGUAUCAGUACCAUUGACAUUUAUUGCUGAUAGUUCUCCAACAGCAGGUAAUAGAAAUGGCUUUAACACUUGGUAACAUAAGCACAAUAUGACAGAUUUCAGGAAUCUGACCUGCAUUUCUUGUGCAGGAAAAAGCAUCCUGUUAUUAACAGAAUAGUUUUUGUACCAUCAGAAAGAAAUGUACCGUGAUAAAUGUUAUCCAUGAUAACAGACAAUGAAAUCUAAGUUACUUCAUAAAACUUCCCACUGCAGAAUUAAGACUAUAAUACCACAGGAAGAUCACUUUAGUUAACAUGAAUCAUUUAGAAACAAAAAUUAAGUUUAUGAGAAUUUUUUUCUACACGGGAAAUAAAAACCCAGUAAGCUACCUUCAAAAGUAGAUAUUUUGUAUUAAUACGUACCAUUAUUAUUUGCACAGAACAAUUUACAAUAUCAACAACACUGUUAAAAAAUAACAAUGAUUUAAUUCCAAUGGACUUGUGCUUUCAGCUGAUCUUCCAGCAAGUACAGAGAUAGAGCAAAUGUGAGAACAAAAUCAGAAUUUCUUGCAUCCAUUGCUCCUGUGUAAGGACUAGCAUGGCUCGUCCUUUGCUUCUGCUGAGCCCCAUUAAAGCAUCUGGAAUUUUGACUGCAUAUACAAAUGCACACCAAAUUUACUAUAUUUACCUGCAUUACCAUAAUUACCUGUUUUCACCCAGACACUGACUAAUAAUGACUAUACACACAUAUAAAUAAAUUUUGCACAUUUGAAGCAACUAAGAGUACACAAUGACUUUAAUUUAAUUUUAUCUCUCAUUAGUUAUGUGGGUAGUUCUGGUGCUGCAGCUCCUCCCAUCUGUCUUAGCAACACUUGGACAGGCACAUCCUAUUAUUUUUAAAAAAUUAAUUUCCCUAAAAAGGGGGGAGAAAUACAAAUGAAAGGGGAAUCUGUCAAUACACAAAGUGCUGACACAUUCAUCAGGUAAAUAAGCUAGAAAAUAUACUUGCUUUAAUUUUCUCCAGAGGCCUUAGCUAGCACUUGCUUUAGUCAGAAGCUAAUUAUACUGGCAGUAUCCAUUCAAAGGAAAAGUCCAAUGCAAUACAGGAAUUAUUUUAACUAGUACAUCAAAUUCACUGUGGGUUAAUUUCAGACAGAUGUGUAUGUGUGACAGGUGUGCACACAUACAUUCCCUAUGAGGGAAUGGAGGCUUCCUUGCACAUCACAGAACAGCAGCAGUUUGUGUUUUGGGAACUUAACUGGCCUGCUCUGUGGCAUCAACAACCAUAGCAAAACAUAAGUCUGUGCUUCCCACAUGCUGAGAUGUGGAAGGAAUUGUAAGAGCUGUAUUUCACUGUAGGCUUGUAAAGACAUCACACAAAAGCUUCACAUGGGCACAGCUGACUUGUCCCACAGCAAUGGCUUUUUUGAAGAUGAGGAUUUAAGACUACUGGGAAAGAAGUAAUUUUAAGAUUAAAAAGAGCGACUCAUUGCUCUGAAAAAUUUUCUCUCUGAAAAAGGAGAGAGACAGAAGCAGCCUAACUAGCUUGGUUUUUCCAUUCUUUUUUUUCAUAAAAUUCCAGCUGUUAUGAAAAGUAAGGUGCUCAUCACUGUAAACCAACAUAGCUCUCAUGGCAUCUAAAGUUCUUACACCUAACAGUAGAGAUUAAUACCAAUGGUUAGUACCAGCAACAGACUGCAACUCUCCAUGACAAAGUCCAAGACAGUUCUUACUCUAGGGAAGGAUUUUUUGUAAAUAUAUUCUUGAAAAAUGACUUCAUAAUGUGGAAUCCUUCAUGGGACUUGAACCUACUCCUUGCUGAGACAAAGUGUUGAAAUACCUGUGUGCCUUUGACAGAUAACAUGACUUAUGUUGAAAGAAGAACAUUUUCUGGUUUUACCAGCAUUAAAAUAAUUGUUUACCCAGCACUGCCACACCAGUUUGGUUCUUUACAUAAAUUAGCAUU